rnacentral:rRNA from 1 species
UACGAAGGGGGCUAGCGUUGCUCGGAAUCACUGGGCGUAAAGCGCACGUAGGCGGAUUCCUAAGUCGGUGGUGAAAUCCUGGAGCUCAACUCCAGAACUGCCUUUGAUACUGAAGAUCUUGAGUCCGGGAGAGGUGAGUGGAACUGCGAGUGUAGAGGUGAAAUUCGUAGAUAUUCGCAAGAACACCAGUGGCGAAGGCGGCUCACUGGCCCGGUACUGACGCUGAGGCACGAAAGCGUGGGGAGCAAACAGG